rnacentral:sRNA from 1 species
AGUGAGACUUUGCUGGCCCUGAGAAUGCACGGGGAAGGUGGCUGUCCCCUGCCUUGGCCCCCAUCACUUGCCAAACCUCCUCAGAUGUCUCCCCUAUUUCCCUAUUAGCUGAGCAUUGAGGAUUUCACAGCAUAUGGCGGUGUGUUUGGAAACAAGCAGGACAGCGCCUUUUCUAACCUAGAGAAUGCCCUGGACCUGGCCCCCUCCUCACUGGUGCUUCCUGCCGUCGACUGGUAUGCAGUCAGCACUCUGACCACUUACCUGCAGGAGAAGCUCGGGGCCAGCCCCUUGCAUGUGGACCUGGCCACCCUGCGGGAGCUGAAGCUCAACGCCAGCCUCCCUGCUCUGCUGCUCAUUCGCCUGCCCUACACAGCCAGCUCUGGUCUGAUGGCACCCAGGGAGGUCCUCACAGGCAACGAUGAGGUCAUCGGGCAGGUCCUGAGCACACUCAAGUCCGAAGAUGUCCCAUACACAGCGGCCCUCACAGCGGUCCGCCCUUCCAGGGUGGCCCGUGAUGUAGCCGUGGUGGCCGGAGGGCUAGGUCGCCAGCUGCUACAAAAACAGCC